UGUGAGGGGCUUAGUUUUCCCAAUUAAGUAACUCAUUCAGGGGGUCCAGCUCAGUCCAUCCACCUUCCUCUGUUGAGGAAAAACAUGGACCAGGAAUGCUGAGUGAUUGGAGGGAAAGCAGGGGAAAAAAAUAUGAGUAAAGAUGAAAAAGAGAAAUAUAUAUAAAUAUUUUCAGAGAGAGCUAGAGGCUGGUAUGAUGAGGCAUGCAAAGGUUAUAACUAAACUAAAUUUCCCAUCUUUGAAACUUCCCUAUUGUUUUCUCUGUGAUAACCACAAUCAUUCAAUAUGCAGCCUUUUUCGUCUUCUAAAUAUCUAUUUGGUGUAUUUAGACAGUAGAGAGCCCAUAUUUUCUUCCCCUUGAAGAUUAAAUACAUAGUACUGUAUUUUUAGUACUGAUGUAAUAUUAAUAAUAUGCUAGUUAGAGCUUUAAGAAUACAGUGGGAAUAAGAUAAUGGCUACUUCUGAUCUGUCACAAUGGACUGUGUGAGUACUGAGUGUUGGUGUAAAAUGUAGAAUAGAAUUUAAAAUCCUCCUCCUCACCUAUAAAGCUCUUCAUGGUCAGGCCCCUUCAUAUCUUAAAGAGCUCAUAGUACCCUAUUACCCCUCUAGAACACUACGUUCUCUGAAUGCUGGGCUACUUGUGGUUCCUAUAGUCUCUAAAAGUAGAACAGGAGCCAGAGCCUUCAGUUACCAAGCUCCUCUCCUGUGGAACCAGCUUCCAGUUGUGGUUCGGGAGGCAGACACCCUCACCACAUUCAAGAGUAGGCUUAAGACAUUCCUCUUUGAUAAAGCUUAUAGUUAGGGCUGGAUCAGGUGAGUCCUGAACCAUCCCUUAGUUAUGCUGCUAUAGGCCUAGACUAUCGGGGGGAUUUCCCAUGGUGCACUGAGCUCCUCUCUUCCUCUCUCUUUCUGCACUCAUUCAUGUCCCAUUAAUGCAUGUUACUAACUUCACUUCUUCCCCGGAGUUCUUGUGCUUUCUCGUCUCGCAGGUUCUCAUGGAUCCUGGUGGAGCCUCCUGCCAUGGUCCUGCUAGACUGCCACUGCCAAUACUGUUGUUGCUGUGCACCUGUCUGUCUGUCUGUCUGUCUGUCUCUCUCUCUCUCUCUCUCUCUUUCACCCCAACUGGUCGAGACAGACGACCACCCACCUAGAGCCGAAGGGUCUGUCCUAGGUUUCUGCCUUUUAACAGGCAGUUUUUCCUUGCCCUUGUUGCCAAGGUCUUGCUCAUGGUGGUACUGUUGGGUCUCUGUAAAUAAUGUUAUAAAGAGUUCGGUCUAGACCUGCUCUAUUUGAAAAGUGUCCUGAGAUAACUUCUGUUAUGAAUUGGCGCUAUACAAAUAAAAUUGAAUUGAAU